ensembl:piRNA 21ur-3852 ncRNA
UUAGAAAGGAUUGUUUAUUAA